GACGAACGCUGGCGGCGUGCUUAACACAUGCAAGUCGAACGGAAAGGCCCUGCUUUUGUGUGGUUCUCGAGUGGCGAACGGGUGAGUAACACGUGAGUAACCUGCCCUUGACUUUGGGAUAACUUCAGGAAACUGGGGCUAAUACCGGAUAGGAGCUCCUGCUGCAUGGGGGGGGUUGGAAAGUUUCGGCGGUUGUGGAUGGACUCGAGGCUUAUCAGCUUGUUGGUGGGGUAGUGGCUUACCAAGGCUUUGACGGGUAGCCGGCCUGAGAGGGUGACCGGCCACAUUGGGCCUGAGAUACGGCCCAGACUCCUACGGGAGGCAGUAGUGGGGAAUCUUGCGCAAUGGGCGGAAGCCUGAUGCAGAAACGCCGCGUGCGGGAUGCCGGCCUUCGGGUUGUAAACCGCUUUCGCCUGUGACGAAGAGUGAGUGACGGUAAUGGGUCAAGAAGCACCGGCUAACUACGUG
rnacentral:rRNA from 1 species